GAAAUGCGAUACGUAGUGUGAAUUGCAGAAUUCAGUGAAUCAUCGAAUCUUUGAACGCACAUUGCGCCCGCCAGUAUUCUGGCGGGCAUGCCUGUUCGAGCGUCAUUUCAACCAUCAAGCCCCGGGCUUGUGUUGGGGACCUGCGGCUGCCGCAGGCCCUGAAAACCAGUGGCGGGCUCGCUGUCACACCGAGCGUAGUAGAUUCUCAUCUCGCUCAGGGCGUGCUGCGGGUUCCGGCCGUAAAACAGCCUUAUUUUACCCAAAGUUGACCUCGGAUCAGGUAGGAAGACCCGCUGAACUUAAGC
rnacentral:misc_RNA from 1 species